rnacentral:rRNA from 1 species
AAGGGGAGUGGCAGACGGGUGAGUAACGCGUGGGAAUCUACCCAGUUCUUCGGAAUAACUGAGGGAAACUUCAGCUAAUACCGGAUACGCCCUAUGGGGGAAAGAUUUAUCGGGAUUGGAUGAGCCCGCGUCAGAUUAGCUAGUUGGUGGGGUAAUGGCCCACCAAGGCGACGAUCUGUAGCUGGUCUGAGAGGAUGAUCAGCCACACUGGGACUGAGACACGGCCCAGACUCCUACGGGAGGCAGCAGUGGGGAAUAUUGGACAAUGGGCGCAAGCCUGAUCCAGCCAUGCCGCGUGAGUGAUGAAGGCCUUAGGGUUGUAAAGCUCUUUCAGUGGGGAAGAUAAUGACGGUACCCACAGAAGAAGCCCCGGCUAACUUCGUGCCAGCAGCCGCGGUAAUACGAAGGGGGCUAGCGUUGUUCGGAUUUACUGGGCGUAAAGCGCACGUAGGCGGAUGGUUAAGUCAGGGGUGAAAUCCCAGAGCUCAACUCUGGAACUGCCUUUGAUACUGGCCAUCUUGAGUCCGGAAGAGGUGAGUGGAACUCCUAGUGUAGAGGUGGAAUUCGUAGAUAUUAGAAGAACACCAGUGGCGAAAGCGGCUCACUGGUCCGGAACUGACGCUGAGGUGCGAAAGCGUGGGGAGCAAACAGAUUAGAUACCCUGGUAGUCCACGCCGUAAACUAUGAGAGCUAGCCGUUGGGACGUUUACGUUUCAGUGGCGCAGCUACGCAUAAGCUCUCGCCUGGGGAGUACGUCGCAGAUAAACUC